AGCGAACGCUGGCGGCAUGCUUAACACAUGCAAGUCGCACGGCGGGGGCAACUCCGUCAGUGGCGGACGGGUGAGUAACGCGUAGGAAUCUAUCCUUGGAAAUGGGGGGGAACCAAACCCGGUGGGGAAAACCUAACGGGUACUUAAACGUACCCGCAGUAGAGUCGCCUAGGACGGGACCAAAGAACGAAAGUUCGUUGGAGGAGGACGUCCUGCGUCUGUAGUUAGGUAGUUGGGUAGGGGUAACGCCUACACGCUACGAUCAGUAGCUGGUCUGAGAGGAUGAUCAGCCACAUUGGGACUGAGACACGGCCCAAACUCCUACGGGAGGCAGCAGUGGGGAAUAUUGGACAAUGGGCGCAAGCCUGAUCCAGCAAUGCCGCGUGGGUGAAGAAGGUCUUCGGAUUGUAAAGCCCUUUUGGCGGGGACGAUGAUGACGGUACCCGCAGAAUAAGCUCCGGCUAACUUCGUG
rnacentral:rRNA from 1 species